rnacentral:rRNA from 1 species
AAGCAACGCGAAGAACCUUACCAGGGCUUGACAUCCCUCUGACAGUCCCUUAACCGGGACCUUCUUCGGACAGAGGAGACAGGUGGUGCAUGGUUGUCGUCAGCUCGUGUCGUGAGAUGUUGGGUUAAGUCCCGCAACGAGCGCAACCCUUGUCUUUAGUUGCCAUCAUUCAGUUGGGCACUCUAGAGAGACUGCCGGUAAUAACCGGAGGAAGUGGGGAUGACGUCAAAUCAUCAUGCCCCUUAUGACCUGGGCUACACACGUGCUACAAUGGUUGGUACAACGAGUUGCGAGUCGGUGACGGCGAGCUAAUCUCUUAAAGCCAAUCUCAGUUCGGAUUGUAGGCCGCAACUCGCCUACAUGAAGUCGGAAUCGCUAGUAAUCGCGGAUCAGCACGCCGCGGUGAAUACGUUCCCGGGCCUU